CAGAUUCGGUCUGGCACAGAACUGAGCUGAGCACAGCCCGGGGAGAGGACCAUCUCCACCUCGAAUCGCCAGGUUCUUCCCCUUUCUUUGCGUUUAUCCGCUGCUCCAUGGCUCCCCAGAAGAAGCUGCAGGGCCUGGUUGCAGCCACCAUCACUCCAAUGACUCAGGAUGGAGAAAUCAAUCUCUCUGUGAUUGGGCGGUACGUGGACUAUCUGGUAAAAGAGCAAGGAGUGCGGAAUGUAUUUGUGAAUGGGACGACAGGGGAAGGCCUGUCUCUAAGCAUCCAGGAGAGGAAGCAGCUGGCCGAGGAAUGGGUGGCCAAGGGCAAAGAUAAGCUGGAUCAUGUAAUCAUUCACGUUGGAACACUGAGUUUACCAGAGUCAAAGGAACUGGCUAAGCAUGCAGCAGAAAUAGGAGCAGAUGGCAUAGCUGUGAUCACUCCCUCCUUCUUCAAACAGGUGAACAAAGACGGGCUGGUCGCCUUCUUCCGGGACGUUGCCUCUCAAGCACCCAGCAUCCCAUUCUAUUAUUACCACAUUCCAACCCUGACUGGUAUCCAGAUUCGUGCUGAAGAGCUGCUAGAUGGGAUGAAAGAACAGAUUCCCAGUUUUCAGGGUCUGAAGUUCAGCGACACAGACCUCCUGGAUUUUGGACGGUGUGUGAAAAAAAACACUGAAGGCAAAUUAGUGCUCCUGUAUGGCGUGGAUGAGCAACUCCUGAGUGCACUGACAGCAGGAGCAACGGGGGCAGUCGGAAGGUCAGUGUCUUGGGUCACCCUUUGUGCACGGAGGGGAGGGCGUUUGGGGGUGGUGCUGCGGACUCUGCAAAAAGGACUCUGGUGGAACGCAUUCUGCCUGCCUGCACUGGCUCCGCUGACACGGCUGAGCGCCGAGUGUGAAGGCUUUGACCCAAAAACGUACGAGAAUUCUUCUGUCUAUGCGCCUAGUCUCUUCCUGGUUUCUCCUGUCGGCGCCAUCCUGGUGCCUUCCGAAUAUCUGGGACUGUGUCACCUAUUAACCGUAACCAGCAUGGAUAAUGACCAGGAAUUACGGGCGCUGCAGCCAUGAGAUUGGGCGAUCACCAUGCUGGGGAAGGCUGGUUUGGCAUCUGCAGGAAUAUUCUUGUUAAUAAAAUGCAGCAGACCAUUCCAUGACCUGCAAAACUUUGUGCAUCAUGCCAGCCAUUAUGGGAUGCACAGGCUUGCUGAGGAAUUUAAUCAAAGUGGGGAGGGGCACAGUUUUGGAUUCUUGGCAGCGGCUGAACUCUGACACUUUUGGGAGUUGGGGGCCAAGACUAAAUUGUAGCCAUUCUUGGGGAAUGAAAGGGCCUGGAAGUAGGAACUGGUGAGGAAAAGGCAUAGGAUGCAGGACAGAGGGGAAAAAAAACUUUUUUCCUGGUGCUUCGUUUUUUUGAUCUGUUCUUGGGGCUAUUUGGGGCAUUGAUUCAGAAAAUUGGAUUGGCUGGCCUGCAUCAGCUCUGGUUUCUUAGAUAUGAUCAAAUUUAUAUAAUUUUUAGUCAGUUUUUAAUUUAAUUUAAUAAAACAUUUUUAUCCCAUCUUUCACUAAACGUCUCAAGACGGCUUACAGUUUUUGAAAAGAUCUUGCUGAUCAAUGUGUUCUUCUGUUACCUACUUAGUGUUUUUGCAGAUAUAGUGAGAGUGUUUGUGCAUUUUGUAAUUUUACAUUGGAAACACUGGAUUCUAAAGGGUAAUUUAUGAACUGUAUUAUAGUUUUGAUCAUAUGGGAGGUGUGUGUAUAUAUGGCAUUUAUACUGUAUCUCAAAAACUAGAGCUGAGAAGGGAAAAUUGGUGCCAUUUUUGGAAUCUGCGGGUUAAAUAUACCCAGGAACAGGCGUAACAUUCGAGGCACCAAAACCUGUGUUGGCCAGUGACUCUACCAGCAGUACUACCGUUGCUGAUGCUGUUACCAGUGCAGGGAUGCUGUUGACCUGCCUGCAGUUGUGAAUCUGUAUUUCCUUUGUUCACUGGAUUAUUUUUUAACAGCACCUAUAACUACUUCGGCAAGGCAAAUAACUUAAUGCUGGAAGCUUUUGUCAGAGGAGACCUGCACUCAGCACAGAAACAUCAGUUCCAUAUCCAAGAGUUCCUUGGCUUUGUCAUUGCCCAGGGCUUUGGAGUUCCACA